GGGUUGUGAGGUUAAGCGACUAAGCGUACACGGUGGAUGCCCUGGCAGUCAGAGGCGAUGAAGGACGUGCUAAUCUGCGAUAAGCGUCGGUAAGGUGAUAUGAACCGUUAUAACCGGCGAUUUCCGAAUGGGGAAACCCAGUGUGUUUCGACACACUAUCAUUAACUGAAUCCAUAGGUUAAUGAGGCGAACCGGGGGAACUGAAACAUCUAAGUACCCCGAGGAAAAGAAAUCAACCGAGAUUCCCCCAGUAGCGGCGAGCGAACGGGGAGCAGCCCAGAGCCUGAAUCAGUGUGUGUGUUAGUGGAAGCGUCUGGAAAGGCGCGCGAUACAGGGUGACAGCCCCGUACACAAAAAUGCACAUACUGUGAGCUCGAUGAGUAGGGCGGGACACGUGGUAUCCUGUCUGAAUAUGGGGGGACCAUCCUCCAAGGCUAAAUACUCCUGACUGACCGAUAGUGAACCAGUACCGUGAGGGAAAGGCGAAAAGAACCCCGGCGAGGGGAGUGAAAAAGAACCUGAAACCGUGUACGUACAAGCAGUGGGAGCCUCUUAAUGGGGUGACUGCGUACCUUUUGUAUAAUGGGUCAGCGACUUAUAUUCUGUAGCAAGGUUAACCGAAUAGGGGAGCCGAAGGGAAACCGAGUCUUAACUGGGCGUUAAGUUGCAGGGUAUAGACCCGAAACCCGGUGAUCUAGCCAUGGGCAGGUUGAAGGUUGGGUAACACUAACUGGAGGACCGAACCGACUAAUGUUGAAAAAUUAGCGGAUGACUUGUGGCUGGGGGUGAAAGGCCAAUCAAACCGGGAGAUAGCUGGUUCUCCCCGAAAGCUAUUUAGGUAGCGCCUCGUGAAUUCAUCUCCGGGGGUAGAGCACUGUUUCGGCAAGGGGGUCAUCCCGACUUACCAACCCGAUGCAAACUGCGAAUACCGGAGAAUGUUAUCACGGGAGACACACGGCGGGUGCUAACGUCCGUCGUGAAGAGGGAAACAACCCAGACCGCCAGCUAAGGUCCCAAAGUCAUGGUUAAGUGGGAAACGAUGUGGGAAGGCCCAGACAGCCAGGAUGUUGGCUUAGAAGCAGCCAUCAUUUAAAGAAAGCGUAAUAGCUCACUGGUCGAGUCGGCCUGCGCGGAAGAUGUAACGGGGCUAAACCAUGCACCGAAGCUGCGGCAGCGAC
rnacentral:rRNA from 1 species